AAGAGAUGUGAUGAUGGAAAUUGUUUUCCCUAUUGGUUUGAUCGCCGAUAUGAUGGCAUCUUACGUAUUAGCUCUAUCUGAUCUUUC
rfam:Eutrema salsugineum unplaced genomic scaffold scaffold_19, whole genome shotgun sequence.